rnacentral:tRNA from 1 species
GGGUAUAGCUCAGUGGUAGAGCACUUGCCUAGUAUGUGCAAGUCCCUGGGUUUAAUUCCCAAUACUUCCC